AGUGAACGCUGGCGGUAGGCCUAACACAUGCAAGUCGAACGGCAGCACAGUAAGAGCUUGCUCUUACGGGUGGCGAGUGGCGGACGGGUGAGGAAUACAUCGGAAUCUACUUUUUCGUGGGGGAUAACGUAGGGAAACUUACGCUAAUACCGCAUACGACCUACGGGUGAAAGCAGGGGAUCUUCGGACCUUGCGCGAUUGAAUGAGCCGAUGUCGGAUUAGCUAGUUGGCGGGGUAAAGGCCCACCAAGGCGACGAUCCGUAGCUGGUCUGAGAGGAUGAUCAGCCACACUGGAACUGAGACACGGUCCAGACUCCGACGGGAGGAAGCAGUGGGGAAUAUUGGACAAUGGGCGCAAGCCUGAUCCAGCCAUACCGCGUGGGUGAAGAAGGCCUUCGGGUUGGAAAGCCCUUUUGUUGGGAAAGAAAAGCAGCAGGUUAAUACCCCGCUGUUCUGACGGUACCCAAAGAAUAAGCACCGGCUAACUUCGUG
rnacentral:rRNA from 1 species